UUUUGUCGUCUUUUCCAGCCUUUCUCAGCUUCACUGUAUUUUGCUCCUUUUUUUUCUCUCUCCUCAUCUCCUCUCAACCUCUCUCCUCAAUCAAUCAACGUAAUCAUCUUCACUAAACCUAUCUCUUCUCAAAUUCUAGGCCAGGGUUCUUCAUUUUGAACGCUAAUCCUAUCCCCAUAAUUCUUUGGUUGUUUAAUUUGGUGAGAUUGAUGGAUUUAGGGUUUAUUUCUUAGACAGGAGAACCCAUCUUUCUCUCUCCUUUUUUAAAACCCACAAACUCCAUUUUCAUCCAACACUGAGUCGUGCACCGAUUCACCAAACCCAAUCAACAAAAGCCUAUGAUCGCCGGAAAAUGGCCACAGCAUCACCAACAUCUCCACCGUCUCAACAUCCACGAAUUUCAAGUAUAUCGCUUUGUUCGUCAAUCCCGAGGAACGCCUUCAUCUUGAGCAUGCCCAGAAACAUGCUCAUUGAUCUUCCUCCUUUUUCAGGAGGGAGAAACAGAAAGCUGAGGAGAGAGGGAGUUCGCUGGAAAUGGCUAGGGAGGAAUUUGAGUAAGCUUUAUUAAAAAACAAGAAGAAAGAGAAUCAUUAAAUGGUAGCUUCUAGUGCCAGAGCUUUCUUUGUUAGGAAACCCAGAUGUUCAAGAUUGAAUUAAAGAAGAUAUUCUUGAUUGAGUUGUCAAUGUUUGUGCCAAGGUGAUUGAUGAUCUAAAUCUUGCCAAUUUACUUGGUGUUUGAGUUCUCCAUUAAGUUCUACUUUGACUUGGGGUUUGAGUUUUCCAUCAUGAAUCUCAUCUGGAUCCGAAGAAAAUAUAAGGGACCAUGCCUCAUUAAUCACUAUCGACCUCACCCAAAUCAACUUGGACUAUGGCAAGCAAUAGUAAGGUGUUUAGAAGGGUGCUAUAAUGGAAUUUCAAAAGGUUAUAGGUAUAACCCUUGAUGGGGAUGUUGUAGGUUGGUAAUUUUUAUGAAUUGUGUUCUUUAUGAAUUAAAAAGUAAUUUUUAUUGUUCUCGAUGUUGGAUGAAAAUAGUGAAUUGAUGGGGUCUGAUGCUCAAUGAUGGGGUCUGAUGCUCAAUGAUAGAGAAUCAUUAGAUAAUAGUUGCCUAAGAUACAAUUGUUCUUGAGUGAUUUUGAUAUUGUCUCUCAGGAAUUUGUCUUGAAUUGUUGUGCCAUGCUUCUUACUUGUGAUUUAGUUUGCUGGGUUAUGCUUUCCCAAUCUGUAUUCCUAGGGGGGCUGAUUAUAUAUUGGGGAAGUUUAAGACUUUUUCUAACGUGUUUCUAAUUUACACUUCGUGUCUUUAAAUUGAAUUUUUGAAGAGGCAGACAAGCUGCAGAAAGCAUCUUAUGAUGCAGAUUGGGUCGGCAUUCAGUUUUCUAUGGGUUGCAGUGCUCAGUUUUUUUAAGAACGGUCUCUUUGCUGUUGAGGUAUUCUCCUCUUUCAUUAAUGUACAGGUACAACUAAUGCUAAAAGGUCAGAUGAUGUCAAAGAAUUACAGAUCAGUGUCAAGGUAAUUAUAACAGAAGCUUCAAAGGUUAUUCGAGAUGCUGGAAAGAAGAUGAACCUUAUGUCUUCUUUGAAUCAGAUAAUUGCUUCUUCAAGACCACCAUCCAAGAAGUGGAAGGUUGGAUUUCUAACAUAGACGAAUUUUGGAUAAAGGAGGAGGUGCUGGGCCUGCUUCUAAUGGCGUCAAUGCGACUGUUAGACUUGUUUUCUUUACUGUAAUCUAUUCACUAAACUUGUUAUAUACAGGUAUUAACUAGUAAGCAGGCAAUGCUUUGCAAUGAGUUUCAUUUUCUAGCAGAAGUGAUAAGACAGUCACAAUUAGUUUAGUUUUUAAAGUAUUAACAAUCAUUGCCAUUAGAUGCUUUAAAGUGUAAUCAACUUACAAUUUUGCAAAGUACAAGUGUAAUAAUUUUUUUUCCGAAGGAAGAAAAUACUUUUUCUUUAAAUAUCA